CCUGGUAGUCCACGCCCUAAACGAUGUCUACUAGUUGUCGGGUCUUAAUUGACUUGGUAACGCAGCUAACGCGUGAAGUAGACCGCCUGGGGAGUACGGUCGCAAGAUUAAAACUCAAAGGAAUUGACGGGGACCCGCACAAGCGGUGGAUGAUGUGGAUUAAUUCGAUGCAACGCGAAAAACCUUACCUACCCUUGACAUGUACAGAAUCCCGAAGAGAUUUGGGAGUGUUCGAAAGAAAACUGUAACACAGGUGCUGCAUGGCUGUCGUCAGCUCGUGUCGUGAGAUGUUGGGUUAAGUCCCGCAACGAGCGCAACCCUUGUCAUUAGUUGCUACGAAAGGGCACUCUAAUGAGACUGCCGGUGACAAACCGGAGGAAGGUGGGGAUGACGUCAAGUCCUCAUGGCCCUUAUGGGUAGGGCUUCACACGUCAUACAAUGGUACAUACAGAGGGCCGCCAACCCGCGAGGGGGAGCUAAUCCCAGAAAGUGUAUCGUAGUCCGGAUUGUAGUCUGCAACUCGACUACAUGAAGUUGGAAUCGCUAGUAAUCGCGGAUCAGCAUGUCGCGGUGAAUACGUUCCCGGGUCUUGUACACACCGCCCGUCACACCAUGGGAGCGGGUUUUACCAGAACGUAGGUAGCCUAACC
rnacentral:rRNA from 1 species